rnacentral:misc_RNA from 1 species
GAUGAAGAACGCAGCGAAAUGCGAUAAGUAGUGUGAAUUGCAGAAUUCAGUGAAUCAUCGAAUCUUUGAACGCACAUUGCGCCCCUUGGUAUCCCGAGGGGCAUGCCUGUUCGAGCGUCAUUUCACCACUCAAGCCUGGCUUGGUGUUGGGCGACGUCCCCUUUGGGGACGCGCCUCGAAACGCUCGGCGGCGUGGCACCGGCUUUAAUCGUAGCAGAAUCUUUCGCUUUGGAAGUCGGGGCCCCGUCUGCCGGAAGACCUACUCGCAAGGUUGACCUCGGAUCAGGCAGGGAUACCCGCUGAACUUAAGCAUAUCAAUAAGCGGAGGA